rnacentral:tRNA from 73 species
GCGGAAGUGGCUCAGUGGUAGAGCAUCGCCUUGCCAAGGCGAGGGUCGCGGGUUCGAAUCCCGUCUUCCGCUCCA